rnacentral:tRNA from 1 species
GAAAUAUUGUAUUAUAGAGAAAGCUUCUAACUUAUCUCCAAAGUGGUGUAAUUCCAUUUAUAUUUCU